ACCCUACCAAUGCUACCACCCAGGAGGCAUAGUGCUCGAUUAUCAAAGAUUUGCAUAUGACAGGACCACAUUACGGUAAAUGAGAAUAAUUUUUUCCUAUUUGUGUUUCGAUUUCUAUUCUUUAUUGUUGAAAGCCCACUAUCUUGAUUGGAUUUGUGUGGAUAAUAUCGAAAUUGAGGAGAAUACAAUUAGUUAAAAAAGGAUGUAGAGAAUGUUGAAUUGCUUUGGAUGCUCUUGCAUAGAAAAUUCCACACAUACUAUUGAAAAAUGGACAGCAUGCUGCCCAGAAUUUUUAACUAACAGUUUUCAUAGUUCACGUUUUACAUUCCGAUACUAAACAAAUAUAGUAAUAAUCAUUCAACAACUAGGUCAUUAUUAAAAUCAAUAACUAAACAGAAGGUUGAAAAUUAAGACGAAAUUAGCUUUAUUUUGAAUAGGCACCCCCAGCUUGAAAAAUUAAAAUAAUGAGUUAUCUUUGAAUUAUUUUAUUUUAGUAACUUUAUUUUGUUGUUUUUGGCAAAAAUUGACGUGUCUUUGUUUUUUUGGUGAAUUAUACCCACGAUCAUUAAUUUAAUGAUUUUUUUAACAGAUGUGAAGGAUAACUUUGACUUCAAUAACUUCAAUAGCGAUAUAUCAUCUAGAGAAAACAGUUUGGAAUUCGAUAAAAAUGUGACUAAAGGAAUCAAGUUAGGUUGUGAUGGGGUACAAUCGAAUGAGAUGAAGAUGAUUAUGUGGUAAUGGUAUACAACGAAGACCAUGAAGCUGAUGAUCUGAAAUGUCCAUCAUCUGAAGAACUAUUGUCGGCUAUGUCAUCUAAUGAUGAGGUUGAGUGUUGAUUUUCGAAGUUCACAACGAAAAUGGAUAUGCAGGAUUCAUAUUUUAAAGUCGAGUAGUUGUUUAGUUCUAUUCAAGAAUUUAGAAAGGCUAUUUGGACAUACGAUGCAAUAAAUGGAUACAAUGUAAAGUAUAAGGUAAAUGACGAAAGAACAGUUCAAGGCAUCUGUAAAGCAGAGUGCAAAUGGAGAAUAUGGACAUCCAAGAUGAAUAAUUUAGAUACGAUUUAAGUGAAGUCAUAUACGCCUCAACACAAAUAUAAUCGAGAUCAUAUAAUUGUCAUUGCAACUACAUUUUCAUAGUUCAUCAGCAUUUCUAGCAGGUUAAAGUAGAUCCGAAGCGGAAAACGAAAAGUAUGCAAGCAGCCAUGAAGGACCUAAAGAUAAAUAUUACUAAAAAUGUAGCUUGGAAUGUGAGAAGAUAUGCAAAGCAGAUGAUAAACGGGACUAUCAAAGAACAGUUUGUUGCACUGAGGUCAUACGCGACGAAGAUCUUGAGGUCGAAUGUAAGAUCAAUAGUGAUGAUAGCACUUAAUGGUUAGGUGUUUCAAGGUAUCUCUAUUUGUUUUAAUGCUUGCAAAGCAGGGCUUCGACAUGGGUGUAGAAAGACCAUUGGAGUAGAUGUGUGCCACUUUCAUGGUGUUUGGAAGGGUAUAAUGCUCAUUGCAGUCGGCCUAGAUAUGAACAAUUGCAUCUAUCUAGUUUCUUAUAUUGUUGUACAGAAAGAGAAUAGGAUUGCAUGGAGAUGGUUUAUGAGAUAUCUGGCUGAGGAUAUUUGGAUAGGAAAUGGUACUGAUUGGACUACGAUAACAGAUAAGCAGAAGGGCUUAAGUAAUGCUAUUGAUGAGUUAUUUCCAAUGAUUGAGCAUAGGUUGUGUAAGGCAUAUAUUUACGAACUUUUUAGUGCAGGGUUCAAGGGAAGGAGUCUGAAGGAUUUUCUUUAACGUGGUACUAAGUCAACUACAGUAGCUGACUACAGACAAUGGAUGCAACAAAUUUGCCAAUUUAGUGAAGAUGCUUAUAAAUGACCGAUAGAAAGGCAUCCGGCCGAAUAGAGUAAAUCUCAUUUCAAGACAUAUUCGAGACGUGUUUUGAACUUGUGCAAGGUUUUCAAUAAGAUGUUGAUUGAUGAUAUAGAAAAGUUCAUCUUAACAUGCUCACAGAUAUACAAUUGAGGUUUACGUAAAGGAUUGAGAAGCGUUGUACUAUGAUGAGGAAAUGCAGAGAUCAAUUGUGUCCAAGAAUUAUAAAAAAAAAAAAAAAAAAAGACUGGCUAAGAUGAUUGAUAUGUCUACUGAAUACACAUUACACUUUUCAGGAUAGCCUAGAUGGCAAGUAGAUUGCAGAGCUGGGACAUAUGUGGUUGACCUAGAAGAACGGACUUGUGCAUUUGGGAGUUGGGAAUUGAUAGGGAUUCCUUGCAGUCAUGUUGUUGCUGUUAUAAAGGAGUGUAGAAAUAAACAUGUGGACUAUGUGGACAACUUCUAUAGAGUUGAUACAUAUUUGAUGUGCUAUGAUCACAUUAUAAAUCCGAUUAACGGAAAAAAUUUAUGGUCCCAAUUGGACGAUUUUUCCAUUACCUUCAUGGUCUAUUCCACAACAGGGAAGAAAGUAAUAGAAAAGAAAGAAGCAAGUGGAGGAAGAUGUGAUAAAACACUCAAAAGGAAAAUCUAUUAUUAAAGGAAAAGGAAGGGUUUCAAUGACAUGCUCACUAUGUGGACUAUACGAUUGCAAUAAAAGAUAUCAUGCAUGCCAAAUGCACCUUUCCCAGUGAGUACUUAUUUGAAUGCUAUUUAAUUGUUGUUUUUAAUCUAAUAAGCGACUAAAUAAAUCUAAUCUUUGGAGGCAAUAGAGUCUAGAAAGUCUCUUGAUAUGGACAGCAUGAGACAUGUUAAGUGCUUCCAUUCUCAAUUUAUUGUAUUUACAUAUAAAUCUAAUUGUUUGGGAUAUCGUAUUUCCAUUAAAUUAUAUUUCUUUCAACUGUUAGGGAAAGCUUAUGCCAGAUAGAGAUGGUGAUCUUUCCUCUAGCCAAGCACGAUGAUAACAACAAACUAUCCAUUUCAUGCCUACUCCUGGGAUCAUGAUGCAAUCCGACACUAGAUGUAUAAAUCAUGGGCCAUCAAUUUCAAUGCCUAUAGCUGAGGGUAAUAAAGGUGCUCAACUCAUUCCUGA
rnacentral:lncRNA from 1 species